rnacentral:lncRNA from 1 species
UGGGAAGAAGAAGGCUGUCCUUUAGUGGGAGAAGCCAUAUUUUUAGGAAGUUGACACAGGCUCCUGAAGAUUGUUGUGCAUGGCACCCCCAGUGGCACCUAGAAAAGGUAAUUGAGAGACCCAGUGGAUCUUACAUGAGGUCAACACAGCCACAUUUCCUUGGACAUUAUUAAGUCUUCCCAUGACAUAUGCUAUCCCUGGGAUGGGUAGUUAACUGCCAAGGCUUUGGGAAGCAGAAAAAUGAAUAGAUGAGCAUGAUUAUUCAAAUAAAGUAGAAUUGACACCUAAAUUGCCUGGAUAAUUACCUCUUGUGGUCUAGGGAAGCCUGACCCCCA